CCGCCCGUCACAGCACGAGAGCUGUUUGUACCCAAAAUCCCUUUAGCUAACUCGCAAGAGAGGCGAGGGCCUAAGGUGCGGGUAGUGAUUGUGCUG
rnacentral:rRNA from 1 species